GGGAAGAUGACUCCGAAAGAACAUAAAACCUGUCUGCUAAGUUGCUUUGCCCUUUUGCCAUGUUCUCUCUGGCAUGGAGCAGGAUGAAGGAGGAUGUUCAGCAGGAAUAGGUGUGCCCUGUCAGCAAAUGGUCCAUGGUGUGGCCUCCCCCCAAGUCUCCCCAUGCUCUCCAUGGCAGAGGAAGCACAGCUGGCUGUAGCCUGCAGAACUGACAGCUCCAGGCUGCUCACUGUGCCCUGGGGAGGGGAAUCAGAGCAGGACAGAUCAGUCAGUGCCAUGGAAGGUUGAGGGGUUUUAGAGUACUGUUUUUUAGGAUGCAACUUUAAGGGAAUCCAUCCAGUUAUAGAGUGUCAGCAGCUCUCACAGAGGCGGGAGAUGCACUGCUGGAGCUGUUCCAGUCACCCUGGUGUGUCACCAUACUCAAACCCCUCCCAGGACCAGCCCUUUGCCAACUUGCUCUGCUGUGUUUGAGGGGAAGCCGUGUGAGGACACUGAGGGCACUUGUGUGACCUCUGCUUUCCCUGCAGUUUAAUCCAGGAGAUCUCACUUCACAGCACUGGUGACAUCUGAAGUGCUCAGCAACAUAUGGAAAUUAAGAACAACCCUGAAUUGCAACAUUUUCUACCUUUCACUCCCCUAAGGCUGCUGGAAGCCACAUUGCUCAUUGUUUCAGCUGUGUGCAAGUGUUAGAAUUCAAACUGCUAAUCAAAAGCAAUCGUUAAAGACAGAGAUGGAUUAAAACUAGUUUAAUAAAUAA